ACCGGCGCACGGGUGCGUAACGCGUAUGCAAUCUACCCACAGCAGAGGGAUAGCCCGUGGAAACAUGGAUUAAUACCUCAUAACACAGGGAGCCCACCUGGGCAUAUUGUUAAAGCUACGGCGGCAGUGGAUGAGCAUGCGUCCCAUUAGUUAGUUGGUAAGGUAACGGCUUACCAAGACGAUGAUGGGUAGGGGUUCUGAGAGGAUGAUCCCCCACACUGGUACUGAGAUACGGACCAGACUCCUACGGGAGGCAGCAGUAGGGAAUAUUGGUCAAUGGACGGAAGUCUGAACCAGCCAUGCCGCGUGCAGGAAGACGGCCUUCUGGGUUGUAAACUGCUUUUCUCAGGGAAGAAAAAGGCCUUGCGAGGCAAAUUGCCGGUACCUGAGGAAUAAGCACCGGCUAACUCCGUGCCAGCAGCCGCGGUAAUACGGAGGGUGCGAGCGU
rnacentral:rRNA from 1 species